AGCGAACGCUGGCGGCAGGCUUAACACAUGCAAGUCGAGCGGGCACUUUCGGGUGUCAGCGGCGGACGGGUGAGUAACGCGUGGGAACGUGCCCUCUGGUUCGGAAUAACUCAGGGAAACUUGAGCUAAUACCGGAUACGCCCUUUUGGGGAAAGGCUUGCUGCCGGAGGAUCGGCCCGCGUCUGAUUAGCUAGUUGGUGAGGUAACGGCUCACCAAGGCGACGAUCAGUAGCUGGUCUGAGAGGAUGAUCAGCCACACUGGGACUGAGACACGGCCCAGACUCCUACGGGAGGCAGCAGUGGGGAAUAUUGGACGAUGGGCGCAAGCCUGAUCCAGCCAUGCCGCGUGAGUGAUCAAGGCCUUAGGGUUGUAAAGCUCUUUUAUCCGGGACGAUAAUGACGGUACCGGAGGAAUAAGCCCCGGCUAACUUCGUG
rnacentral:rRNA from 1 species